GAGGAGCCGCCCUGACGGCAGCUGCGCGCGGUAGUCUCUGAGCCUGAGCCGGAGCCUGAGCGCGCACAGGGCGCAUGCUCGGCAAGAGCGGGCGCGGAUUCCUGAAGCGCCACGGAACAGCCGCCUGCAGCAGUCACCGCUAAGACCCAGACUUCCAGACGCUUUAAAACGCUUCCUAGUUCUGGAAUGAAGAGGAAAUCAUCUGAUUCUUAGAUGAAGGAAAACUAUGACAAUUUGUUUCCAGCCCAUCUAUACCCAGAAAGGACAGCUAAAGAAAGUUUUCUAAACAGAAAUGCAGUGGUAGAAGAAGAAACCAUGGAACAUCAGGAAGAAAGAAAGAACGUGUUCCUCCAUGUUGGAAGCAACUAGGACUGGGGAAUGUCUCGACAUAGAGUUGGCGCUCAUCGUCCUGAUGGUGAAGGAAAGAGCAAGGCAACUGAGUCAUUCUGGAAGGUCUCUUUUUUUGACAAACAAGUAUUUUGAAUCAGUAAAUUGUCACAGCUUUUAUUGGAUGGACCCAGGAAAUCAUGAAACUGGCUGGAAUUGCAGGAGAUAUUUGAGUUAGACACGUCAGAGGACUUCCUGGCCUGAAGGGCACCAGCAUGAGAGAAUAAAGUUAUUUCUGUCGCUGUCAUACUUGCUCUUUUUCUCUGCCCUUUUCCUCUCUCUUUGGAACAUUUUUUUUCUCUUUCCUCCUGCAUUUCACUCACUGAUUUCAGCCAGAAUAAAGAAAGAGCUUCAUUACUAUGAACUUGCUUGUGGCUGGAGGAAUUGAAGUGGAGAUGCUGAC